rnacentral:lncRNA from 1 species
UAUGUUAUGAUUUUGAAGUGAAGUUUUUGUUUUAUACAAAUGGGCAUUUGAAUAAGUUGUUUUGUUGUUACUGUUUUUAGUUCUUGAAGGAACAACAAUCACCCAAUCAUCGGACUUUCAAUCUCGUUGCCGGAGUUUCAGUUUUCCUGUUGCCGACGUUUCAUAAAACGGUAGCAAGUUGUCCGAUCUUGAAGGAAUCAGAACCUCCGGCCAACCAAUCGACGAUCACAUAAUCGAUGGUGUCCUCCCACUUUCCACCGCCUCAUACUAGAAAUUGAAAAAGGCAUGUCAAAAGUCAUUGUUUUUUUUUAAUACCGAUAAAAAAAAAUUUAUUGUUUAGAGGGGAGAUCCACCCUACGCCCAGCUGACGUGCUAGUUUUUGGUUGGGAGGGCGGGAAACAUACUUGUGUCGAUCUCACAGGUGUAUCCCCACUAGCCGGGUUCCAGAAAAAUGGGUUUGUGGCGGGGCAAGCGGUACUGAAAGCAGAGUCAAAGAAGGUGGAAAAGCACGUGAAAGCUUGUGAGGAUAAUCAGCAUGCCUUUGUCCCCCUGGCGUUUGACACGUUCGGCUCCUUGGCGCCGGAAGCAGUUCGGUUCUUGUCUAGAGUUCAGUGUGUGGUCCAUAGCAACUUUUCGACCCCUCAGGGGCUGGGCUUUGUUUUUAGUAGAUUAGGGUUUUCUAUUCAGAAAUGGAUAGGCUGGACUUUGUUUUUAGUAGAUUAGGGUUUUCUAUUCAGAAAUAGAUGACGGCGCAGUUUGUUGCACGUCUACCUGCUAUCCUUAUUUCAUUGUUUGAAACAUUGCAAAAGAUCAGGGAAAGUAUAUAUAUUUUUUCACUUUAUCCAUAUUUUUUUUUCUUAAAUUUGAUUGAUCAAUGAAAAGGAAAUUGUUUACUAAAUUUAAAGUAUUUCAAAAGUUUCAUUUAGUUGUGACAUUUAGAAUGGAAGACAUUUACCUGCUUCUAGAUAUGAGGUUACCAACAAAGAUUUGAUGGCGUAGUAUUCCUUUCAUGGAUUGUAAUGGAAUUGGAAUGAGAAUUCGCACAGAAAUUGAAAUAUGAUUUGUAAUUUAGGUGUGUUUGUU